UACGUAGGGUGCAAGCGUUGUCCGGAAUUAUUGGGCGUAAAGAGCUCGUAGGCGGUCUGUCACGUCGGCUGUGUAAUCCCGAGGCUCAACCUCGGGUCUGCAGUCGAUACGGGCAAACUAGAGUACUGCAGGGGAGACUGGAAUUCCUGGUGUAGCGGUGAAAUGCGCAGAUAUCAGGAGGAACACCGGUGGCGAAGGCGGGUCUCUGGGCAGUAACUGACGCUGAGGAGCGAAAGCGUGGGGAGCGAACAGG
rnacentral:rRNA from 1 species